rnacentral:lncRNA from 1 species
AAAACAACAUUGUAGCUCAGUUGGCAAGGACACAACUUAAAGUGUUGGUGUCCCAGGUUCAAACCCUCAUAUUGCACCAUUUUUUAUUUUUCUGACUUAUUUCAAAUUGGGCCAGCUGGUUAUAAAUUGGGCCAGCGUACAGCUAGGCUGAAGUUCUUCCAAUAUACCAUUUUCGAAUUGGUCCAGUUGGUUAUAAAUUGGGCCACCUC